rnacentral:rRNA from 1 species
GAUGAACGCUAGCGGCAGGCUUAAUACAUGCAAGUCGAGGGGCAGCAUGAGUGUAGCAAUACAUUUGAUGGCGACCGGCAAACGGGUGCGGAACACGUACACAACCUUCCUAUAAGUGGGGAAUAGCCCAGAGAAAUUUGGAUUAAUACCCCGUAACAUAAUGAUGUGGCAUCACAUUAUUAUUAUAGCUACGGCGCUUAUUGAUGGGUGUGCGGCUGAUUAGAUAGUUGGCGGGGUAACGGCACACCAAGUCUACGAUCAGUAGCUGAUGUGAGAGAAUGAUCAGCCACACGGGCACUGAGAGACGGGCCCGACUCCUACGGGAGGAAGCAGUAAGGAAUAUUGGUCAAGGGACGCAAGUCUGAACCAGCCAUGCCGCGUGAAGGAUUAAGGUCCUCUGGAUUGUAAACUUCUUUUAUCUGGGACGAAAAAAGGCGAUUCUUCGUCACUUGACGGUACCAGAUGAAUAAGCACCGGCUAACUCCGUGCCAGCAGCCGCGGUAACAC